CAAAAAAAUACCCAAUCAAUCAGUAUUAGAGACAGCUCUGCUCUACUAGCAGCCCUACUGGUUGCAUAAAGUUGUACUGAUUACACAGUGAAAAUCAUGGUAAAUAGGAAGUGCUAGCAUGGCAUGACUGAAUUCAGAGUUAGCCAAAGUUCAGGUACCUGGUCUGAUUUUUGUUCUGAAUGUGUCCUCUGCAUAAAGCUGUAUCAGCUGUGACCGAGCCCUGAGGCUGCUUGACAAACUGAGUGAGGUGGCCUGGCUGUGCAUGGACCUGAACACACCGGCUGUGUCUGCACGAGAUGCAUCUGCUCAGCAAUUUGAAUAGGCAGACAAGGACCUGAAUGUGUUAUAGAUCUUCUUCCCUGACUUUUUCUUUAGUCAAUGCAACACAGUUUAUUAUGGAACCUACGGGACAACCGUUAACAUUUAUAAAAAUAUUCUAGUUACCUGUUACAGGAAAUCAAGAGGAAAUCAAUUCUUUAGUUGAAUUAUACUUACUAAUAAUGCUCCAAUUCAGUCAAGGUGUUUAGGUGCUACCAAAAUAUCCCGUCUCCCAAGAAACAGUUUGAACCCAUUCUUCCUCACACAUGCCUCUGCUAUCAAGAAUUAGAGGUGGGAAAAGGGAACCCAUCCACCUGCAGUACAAAACCUCUCUGCCAAAGAGCAUAGUGUUGAACGUGUGCUUGCCAAGUCAGCCUUCCUGUCUUUCAUUAAAAACACCACCAGGACAAAAGUCAAGUGCAUCCACCUCUGGUUUUGCUACAGAUCAGACACAACAGGACAAUACCUAUGGAAUCGUGUCAGAUAAUUUCCCGUACACCAAUAAGGAAAUGAAGCAAUUAAGAAGGGGGAAGAGAACAGCAUGUGUUUAGAAGCUAAAUUUUCAGGCAAUCGCAUUGCAAAUCACUGUUUCAUUUUAGGUUAGGUUUUAAUAAUGCCAAUUAGGAGUUAUAAAAGCUAGUGAAAAUGAAGUUUCCUCAGUUAAAAAAGAUUCAUUGCCUAGAGCAAAGCAUUUUCCAUUUGUAGAAUUUCUUAUUAGUAAACAUCUUGAAAUGGUGAACCGUGGAAAAAGCCUUCUUACAAAAUUAGAACAUCCUCUCAAUCAAGAGACCUGAAACCUCCAAAGGCAAAUCUCAGAGCUCUCAGAUUUGCCCUAGCAGCAUUACUGCUCUGUGCUUGGUGCAGUCCUUGAGGCGCUUCAUAAGAUGGGCUCGCCCUUGGCUGCAGGAGCCCUGAACAAACCUCGUCCUCACGCCUCAGCAGCAAACUCUGCAGUUCAGCAUUAAAAUCAGGCUGGAUGCAAAAACCAUAUUUGUAACUAAGGCAGUAACUAUUUGCAAAUGAGGAGGAACUGGAGGGUUGUUAAGCCAUCAUCUAUAUCUCUGUUAUGUAAAAAAUAUUUAAACAGCUGAAGAUCUCCAUACCCUCGACCAUCAAACACUGGUAACCAUAUAAUUAAAUAGCUGAUUCUGACAAAGCUUAAUUAAUCUAAAGCAGCAGCAAGUGAUGAAUUGUACUGUUCCCUUAAUUUAACUGUUUUGAUGCUUAGAUUGGUUGAUUAUGACAAAUGUUAUUAGUUAUUCCAUUUGUGUUUCACAUCAACUUAACGCUUUGUCAUCUUGAGUUGUUUUUGAGGUAAAGAACAGCAUCUAUAUCUACCAAGAGCUUUCUGAAUGCCCUUGGUCUGGCUUCUUCCAAAAGGCUCAACUAAACACAAGAAAGUGUCAACCCAUAGAGGAGACCUCUCAUCCUUCAGUCACAUUUCUGUCUGAAUCUUUUCAAACGCUGUAGCUGUAUUUGGCUUUUCACUUUAGCAAAAACAGAGAUAAAAUCCUAGAGGCCCUGCCUGGUCUGUGCAGAAGAAAGAGUACAAUCACUUUCUAAUGUUAAGAGUAUAAUUUUAAGAAGAAUGAUUGCUCUUGUAUUUCUGCUUUUAACAUUCAUCAAGGCUUUAAUGCACCAGCAGCCAAAAUAACAUAGGAACUUACUCCCCUCACACCAGCAUUUUCCUUACUUCCUCAUGCCUACCUUGCAGUGCCCAGAAAACAGACCACCACUGUCACCAUUUCUGAAAAAUGAAAUGCCAUUGCUCACCCCUAGAAGAAUUGGGGAAAUGUGAGAUGGGAGAAGGUUCACAGGAGCAUGGUACAAGAGCAUAAAUGGAGGCUUCUUGCUAAGCUCGUGUCUUAUGCUUCUGCAUGCAGUAGUACAGGUGACCAUCACUUGCAGCUUGUGCUUGGAACUCACCAUCAAGGCCAACUUUUCUAUCUUGUAUAAACUGUAACAGGUGACAUGUUUCCUUGUUGAGAAUAUUUUUUAGCUUAGGCAAUGAACAAAUACUAGUUUCCACAAAUGGUUAAUAGUCCAUUUAACCUAAAUAAAAGUAUGCCACUUAUUUCU
ensembl:lncRNA